GCCCACCUAGCUCAGUGGUAGAGCACUUCCUUGGUAAGGAAGAGGUCACGAGUUCAAGCCUCGUGGUGGGCU
rnacentral:tRNA from 1 species